GGGAUAUAAUUUUUUCAGCCUUUUUGAAAAGCCUGAAAUGUCAAGCCUUUUAAAGCAGAUUAUUCUGCCUCUGUGCAGUGAAUACAGCCAGAGUAACCUUUUGUCUACAAUUAAAUAUUCUAGCAUAAAUAUAAAAGAAAAUCAGAGAUGGGAAAGAUUGACUCACGAGAGAUUGGAGAGGUAGAUUCACACACUGAUAGUGGAAGCAGCUUGCUUCUAAUUAAAUAUGCGACUGAGUCUCAGAGCAUUUGCUUUCAGCCGCAGAGAGGAGAGGCUGCCCAAGAAUGGGGAGGAAGAGAUAUAUAACAUAAUCUGUUUGUCCACAGUGUUUCCUUGGGGUUUACUAAGAUUGAGAUAAAACCUUCUGUCAUUCCGGGACCUAAUAUCUUUACUUUGCCAAGUCCAUUCCUCCACCAGAAUCAUCCAAGUCGAUAAACUUUGCAUACUGCAUAUGUUGGUGAGAUGUUCACAGAUCAAGCUGCAAAGUGCUGAAUGUAUACUUUUACCUUUGCCUGGAUCUCGGUUCAGUGGAAUCUUGAUGUCUUGUUGUAGCAAUCUAUGGAUACCUGUGAACAAUGAAUUCCAAACAUUACCUAUAAAUGAAGGAUUGCUGUUGUCAUGGUAAUAUGCUGAUGGACAACUUGGCCUUGAUGGAAUUAUUGAAAUUAAAACAACUAUUGUGGAUUUGGUUAGGCUAUUCAUCUGCACACAGCAUUGGAAAAGAUCAGAUAUAAUCAGAGGUUAUCAUGUUGACCAUGAUCAUGCUACCAUACUCUAUUCCACAAGCUUUCAGCUCAACAGUUUUCAAACUAUACCUCAAGAUUGAAUCCAUGCUGGAGAGGAAGGAAAGAAUACAGUACAUAAGCCUGUUGUACUGUACAUAAUGAAUCCAAAUGACAGUAACGCUAUACUUAUAACAGGAUCCUAUUUCAUCUGAUUGACAUGAUCUUGACUAAAUAAGUAAGGUUCUAUAACUUUUGCAUUCAAAAUCUCUUAUCCAUAAAACAACAACGUAUUCUGAAAAACAUCUUCUCAAGCUAUAUAUACAUGAGUCAAAGGCAGAGUCAUAACUUUCCAAGAUUUAGACAAGCACCAACAGAACACAGAACAGCAGUUGCAAGCUACAGCAAAUGAUCAAGGCUGCAUGUUCAGGAGAGUGCUUCCAAAGUGACCCCAGGAUGCCGGCAAUUAAAGGAAUCAAAAUCAGAAAGACAGAACCUCUCGUGUAGCAUACAGAGAUGUAAAGCUUGGCUGUGUAAUAUCUAGAAGAAUGAGAAGAAAGCAUAAGUCUGUGAAUGCUUAGGAGAUGGAUGGACCACACUUCAGGAUAAAAUCUUAAUUUAUGAACUUUCCUGCAUGAUAAUGGAUGGACUUUAUAGGCCAUGAUUUGCUGAAAGGAAUAUUGGAAUCCAACAGGACUUAGCCUAGGUUUUGGGAAUUCUCAGAAACCUGGAACAGGUCCUGUACGUUACAAGAACACCUCCCUGCAGUACAGUCAACAUAAAUUCAAAGUCACUGAGAUCUCUACAAGCUCUUUCUGGAGUGAGUCAAGUACUAUAAAAUCUGGCUGCGCACAUUUAUAAAAUGGCGGGAUCUGUAAAUACUUAAGGAGAGCUAUUCUUUCUUUUCUUCCUUCUCUGUCAAUGAAUAUAGCAAGACAAAUGCCAUCCUGAAUAGUUUUAAAAGUCACAUAUUUGAGUAAUACUGUACUUGUCUAAUUGCACCUUAAAGGCCUACUCCAAAUUUAUGGCAAAUGGCUUCACCAUUCCAUUAAAAUAGAGUUGUUCACUGAUGGAAUUCAAAAGAAUAAUUCUCAGCAGGCAAAUCAAGUAAGGUCAUGUCCUACAAGAACAUAAUAUCCCUUGCCUACACUGGAAUUGACUCCUACAGGCCAUCAUACAAAUGUGUUCCGUCUGUGAUCCACAGUCAAUGAUAAACUGUUACUUGUAUUAUCAGCAGUGAUGGGACCGAAUCGGCAACCAUCUUACAACCGAAUGACUGAAAGGGACGAUAUAAGGAAAGGA